UACGGAGGGGGCGAGCGUUGUCCGGAAUUAUUGGGCGUAAAGGGCUCGUAGGCGGUCUGUCAAGUCGGCUGCGAAAACUCGGGGCUCAACUCCGAGCCUGCAGUCGAUACGGGCAGACUAGAGUUCGGUAGGGGAGACUGGAAUUCCUGGUGUAGCGGUGAAAUGCGCAGAUAUCAGGAGGAACACCGGUGGCGAAGGCGGGACUCUGGGCCGAUACUGACGCUGAGGAGCGAAAGCGUGGGGAGCAAACAGG
rnacentral:rRNA from 1 species